rnacentral:rRNA from 1 species
CGCGUAGGCGGCCUGUCAAGUCAGAGGUGAAAGGCCCGGGCUCAACCCGGGAACUGCCUUUGAAACUGGCAAGCUAGAGUCCGAGAGAGGAUGGCGGAAUUCCCAGUGUAGAGGUGAAAUUCGUAGAUAUUGGGAAGAACACCGGUGGCGAAGGCGGCCAUCUGGCUCGGUACUGACGCUGAGGCGCGAAAGCGUGGGGAGCAAACA